UACGAAGGGGGCUAGCGUUGCUCGGAAUUACUGGGCGUAAAGCGCACGUAGGCGGAUUGUUAAGUCGGGGGUGAAAUCCUGGAGCUCAACUCCAGAACUGCCUUCGAUACUGGCGAUCUCGAGUUCGGGAGAGGAGAGUGGAAUUCCCAGUGUAGAGGUGAAAUUCGUAGAUAUUGGGAAGAACACCGGUGGCGAAGGCGGCUCCUCGUCGGACCGAUACUGACGCAUGAGGCGGCGAAAAGCGGUUGGGUAACGCAAA
rnacentral:rRNA from 1 species